rnacentral:rRNA from 1 species
UUAAGCGACUAAGCGUACACGGUGGAUGCCCUGGCAGUCAGAGGCGAUGAAGGACGUGCUAAUCUGCGAUAAGCGUCGGUAAGGUGAUAUGAACCGUUAUAACCGGCGAUUUCCGAAUGGGGAAACCCAGUGUGUUUCGACACACUAUCAUUAACUGAAUCCAUAGGUUAAUGAGGCGAACCGGGGGAACUGAAACAUCUAAGUACCCCGAGGAAAAGAAAUCAACCGAGAUUCCCCCAGUAGCGGCGAGCGAACGGGGAGGAGCCCAGAGCCUGAAUCAGUGUGUGUGUUAGUGGAAGCGUCUGGAAAGGCGCGCGAUACAGGGUGACAGCCCCGUACACAAAAAUGCACAUGCUGUGAGCUCGAUGAGUAGGGCGGGACACGUGGUAUCCUGUCUGAAUAUGGGGGGACCAUCCUCCAAGGCUAAAUACUCCUGACUGACCGAUAGUGAACCAGUACCGUGAGGGAAAGGCGAAAAGAACCCCGGCGAGGGGAGUGAAAAAGAACCUGAAACCGUGUACGUACAAGCAGUGGGAGCCUCUUAAUGGGGUGACUGCGUACCUUUUGUAUAAUGGGUCAGCGACUUAUAUUCUGUAGCAAGGUUAACCGAAUAGGGGAGCCGAAGGGAAACCGAGUCUUAACUGGGCGUUAAGUUGCAGGGUAUAGACCCGAAACCCGGUGAUCUAGCCAUGGGCAGGUUGAAGGUUGGGUAACACUAACUGGAGGACCGAACCGACUAAUGUUGAAAAAUUAGCGGAUGACUUGUGGCUGGGGGUGAAAGGCCAAUCAAACCGGGAGAUAGCUGGUUCUCCCCGAAAGCUAUUUAGGUAGCGCCUCGUGAAUUCAUCUCCGGGGGUAGAGCACUGUUUCGGCAAGGGGGUCAUCCCGACUUACCAACCCGAUGCAAACUGCGAAUACCGGAGAAUGUUAUCACGGGAGACACACGGCGGGUGCUAACGUCCGUCGUGAAGAGGGAAACAACCCAGACCGCCAGCUAAGGUCCCAAAGUCAUGGUUAAGUGGGAAACGAUGUGGGAAGGCCCAGACAGCCAGGAUGUUGGCUUAGAAGCAGCCAUCAUUUAAAGAAAGCGUAAUAGCUCACUGGUCGAGUCGGCCUGCGCGGAAGAUGUAACGGGGCUAAACCAUGCACCGAAGCUGCGGCAGCGACACUAUGUGUUGUUGGGUAGGGGAGCGUUCUGUAAGCCUGUGAAGGUGUACUGUGAGGUAUGCUGGAGGUAUCAGAAGUGCGAAUGCUGACAUAAGUAACGAUAAAGCGGGUGAAAAGCCCGCUCGCCGGAAGACCAAGGGUUCCUGUCCAACGUUAAUCGGGGCAGGGUGAGUCGACCCCUAAGGCGAGGCCGAAAGGCGUAGUCGAUGGGAAACAGGUUAAUAUUCCUGUACUUGGUGUUACUGCGAAGGGGGGACGGAGAAGGCUAUGUUGGCCGGGCGACGGUUGUCCCGGUUUAAGCGUGUAGGCUGGUUUUCCAGGCAAAUCCGGAAAAUCAAGGCUGAGGCGUGAUGACGAGGCACUACGGUGCUGAAGCAACAAAUGCCCUGCUUCCAGGAAAAGCCUCUAAGCAUCAGGUAACAUCAAAUCGUACCCCAAACCGACACAGGUGGUCAGGUAGAGAAUACCAAGGCGCUUGAGAGAACUCGGGUGAAGGAACUAGGCAAAAUGGUGCCGUAACUUCGGGAGAAGGCACGCUGAUAUGUAGGUGAAGCGACUUGCUCGUGGAGCUGAAAUCAGUCGAAGAUACCAGCUGGCUGCAACUGUUUAUUAAAAACACAGCACUGUGCAAACACGAAAGUGGACGUAUACGGUGUGACGCCUGCCCGGUGCCGGAAGGUUAAUUGAUGGGGUUAGCGGUAACGCGAAGCUCUUGAUCGAAGCCCCGGUAAACGGCGGCCGUAACUAUAACGGUCCUAAGGUAGCGAAAUUCCUUGUCGGGUAAGUUCCGACCUGCACGAAUGGCGUAAUGAUGGCCAGGCUGUCUCCACCCGAGACUCAGUGAAAUUGAACUCGCUGUGAAGAUGCAGUGUACCCGCGGCAAGACGGAAAGACCCCGUGAACCUUUACUAUAGCUUGACACUGAACAUUGAGCCUUGAUGUGUAGGAUAGGUGGGAGGCUUUGAAGUGUGGACGCCAGUCUGCAUGGAGCCGGCCUUGAAAUACCACCCUUUAAUGUUUGAUGUUCUAACGUUGGCCCCUGAUCGGGGUUGCGGACAGUGUCUGGUGGGUAGUUUGACUGGGGCGGUCUCCUCCUAAAGAGUAACGGAGGAGCACGAAGGUUGGCUAAUCCUGGUCGGACAUCAGGAGGUUAGUGCAAUGGCAUAAGCCAGCUUGACUGCGAGCGUGACGGCGCGAGCAGGUGCGAAAGCAGGUCAUAGUGAUCCGGUGGUUCUGAAUGGAAGGGCCAUCGCUCAACGGAUAAAAGGUACUCCGGGGAUAACAGGCUGAUACCGCCCAAGAGUUCAUAUCGACGGCGGUGUUUGGCACCUCGAUGUCGGCUCAUCACAUCCUGGGGCUGAAGUAGGUCCCAAGGGUAUGGCUGUUCGCCAUUUAAAGUGGUACGCGAGCUGGGUUUAGAACGUCGUGAGACAGUUCGGUCCCUAUCUGCCGUGGGCGCUGGAGAACUGAGGGGGGCUGCUCCUAGUACGAGAGGACCGGAGUGGACGCAUCACUGGUGUUCGGGUUGUCAUGCCAAUGGCACUGCCCGGUAGCUAAAUGCGGAAGAGAUAAGUGCUGAAAGCAUCUAAGCACGAAACUUGCCCCGAGAUGAGUUCUCCCUGACUCCUUGAGAGUCCUGAAGGAACGUUGAAGACGACGACGUUGAUAGGCCGGGUGUGUAAGCGCAGCGAUGCGUUGAGCUAACCGGUACUAAUGAACCGUGAGGCUUAACCU